GGGAACGUUUGGGUUUCCUUCUUGGAGUUUUCCAGAAAAGCCCUUAUCUCUGGAGUGGGGAUAAUGGACUGUGAUUAGACUUGCAGAAUAAAGACUGUUACUUUUAUUGUGUGGUCUCCAAAGCAGAUGGAUUCAGGACAAGGACUUGGGCUGUAAGUUAGUUUUGGAGCCUUCUAGGAGGAAUUCUCUUGGGAAAGACUAGAUCUGGAGGAAAAAAGGUGACUGCACUGGCUCUCAGAAAUGUGAAUGUACUGAAGUUGUCACCCUGGAAAGCUGCAAAACUGGAGCAACCUAUAAACUGGAAAGAUAUUGGAAACAAGACAUGGUACAAUUUGCAAGACUGCCUGAACCAAAGGACUGCAGUGAGAACUGAUGACUGAAAAAUUUACAGUAGUUCAGUUUGAAAUGUUUUUAACCAUGUAGAGCACUCCCUUCAAACAGCACCAGGCAAUCUCAACAGAGGGGCAGCCCAUGUUUUGUAGCUGUUAAAGUACAAAACUUCGUUCCUAGUAAUGGUUUCAAAAUAUACACAUGAGAUGUGAAGGAGUCUUGGGAAAGACCUACAAAAAGAAACUGGGUAAGAUACAAUGUGUACUGAUUUCACGUGUCCUCAAGGCUGCAUAAUUUAAUAGACAAUACUGACAAAUGUAAUAUGGAUUAUGUUAAUAGGUUAUG